CCUACGGGAGGCUGCAGUGGGGAAUAUUGGACAAUGGGGGGAACCCUGAUCCAGCCAUGCCGCGUGUGUGAAGAAGGCCCUCGGGUUGUAAAGCACUUUCAGUGAGGAAGAACGCCUGGUGGUUAAUACCCAUCAGGAAAGACAUCACUCACAGAAGAAGCACCGGCUAACUCCGUGCCAGCAGCCGCGGUAAUACGGAGGGUGCGAGCGUUAAUCGGAAUUACUGGGCGUAAAGCGCGCGUAGGUGGCUUGAUAAGCCGGUUGUGAAAGCCCCGGGCUCAACCUGGGAACGGCAGCCGGAACUGUCAAGCUGGAGUGCAGGAGAGGAAGGUAGAAUUCCCGGUGUAGCGGUGAAAUGCGUAGAGAUCGGGAGGAAUACCAGUGGCGAAGGCGGCCUUCUGGACUGACACUGACACUGAGGUGCGAAAGCGUGGGUAGCAAACAGGAUUAGAUACCCCAGUAGUC
rnacentral:rRNA from 1 species